UACAGAGGUCUCAAGCGUUGUUCGGAUUUAUUGGGCGUAAAGGGUGCGUAGGCGGCAAGGUUAGUUGGAUGUGAAAUGCCAAGGCUCAACCUCGGCACCGCAUUCAAUACUGCCAUGCUAGAGCGCUAGAGAAGAGACUGGAAUUUACGGUGUAGCAGUGAAAUGCGUAGAUAUCGUAAGGAACGCCAGUGGCGAAAGCGAGUCUCUAGAUAGUAUGCUGACGCUGAGGCACGAAAGCCAGGGGAGCAAACGGGAUUAGAACGUACGUCGU
rnacentral:rRNA from 1 species